rnacentral:lncRNA from 1 species
ACCACCGUUAGUGAUACGCAUAUAGUAGCAUAUCAUUAAUACCAGGGAUGUUUGCAAAAACGACAACUUCAUAUACUCAAUAAUGCCAUUGACAUUAACUGGGAUGCUGGUAACUCCGUUACACCAAACAGGACUAAACUAGAACUAGAUUCUUUGAAAGUGCAACUGACAUUUUUUUAACAGAAUCCUUUGUGCAGUACAAACUGAUCUGAACCGAAGCUGCGAGCAAACAAACAUACAUUUAAAAGUAAAUAGGUGGAAAAUAAAAGAUUUAUCAUCGUCAAUUCAUCAGCUGAAGGUGCACUCCAUGAGCUGCUGCACCAGGGCUUCCACCUCAUCGAAGUGCACUGCGGGCUGCUCGCUGUGAUUUCCAGAAAAGAUAAGAUGAGUAAGUAGUACUUGAGAUCGAGAGCAGAGGGAGGGCGUGGGCGAGGAACUGACAUCAGGGCGCGGAUGUCGUCGAGGAUCUGGUAGGCAUUGUUGAUGAAGAAGCAGGCGACCUCAGCGGCAGCCAAAAUCCAUAACCAUACGACUAGAGGGGAGGGGAAGGGCCUCACAUCGGUGUACAUGCCGGCGAUAUGGGCGUUGAGCUGCGCCCUCAGUGCUGCGGCUGCCAUGGCAAGGC